GCUGGCGGCGUGCUUAACACAUGCAAGUCGAACGAGAGGACAAGAGAAGCUUGCUUCUUUUGGAAUCGAGUGGCAAACGGGUGAGUAACACGUAAACAACCUGCCUUCAGGAUGGGGACAACAGACGGAAACGACUGCUAAUACCGAAUACGCUUGGGAGACCGCAUGAUCUACCAAGGAAAGGGUGGCCUCUACCUGUAAGCUAUCGCCUGAAGAGGGGUUUGCGUCUGAUUAGGCAGUUGGUGAGGUAACGGCCCACCAAACCUACGAUCAGUAGCCGGUCUGAGAGGAUGAACGGCCACACUGGAACUGAGACACGGUCCAGACUCCUACGGGAGGCAGCAGUGGGGAAUCUUCCGCAAUGGGCGAAAGCCUGACGGAGCAACGCCGCGUAAGUGAUGACGGCCUUCGGGUUGUAAAGCUCUGUGAUCGGGGACGAACGGUCCGUAAGCUAAUACCUUAUGGAAGUGACGGUACCCGAAUAGCAAGCCACGGCUAACUACGUG
rnacentral:rRNA from 1 species